UUGAAAUACAACUUUUUUUCGAAUCUUACGUGAAUGUGGGACUACACUCUUGACUAGCAUCUACUCCCUUCGUCCCUAAUUACUUGUCCAUUUUCCUUUUAUAGUUGUCCUUAAUUACUUGUCGAUUUUGACAAAUCAAGAAAGAACAAUUUCUUUUAUCUAUUAUACCCUCAAUUAAUUGACUAAUUACUUUGAAAAAUGUAGAACUUUUCAUCCAAUGUAGGGGUAAAUGGUAAACUUACUACGUCUUUAAUUAUUUUCUUAAUAGGUGUGUCAAUUCAAAAGUAGAUAAGUAAAAAGGGACGGAGGAAGUAUAUAACUACUAUACCUCAAUUAAUAAACAAUCUGGGAUGAUUAGAUGGUCACACACCCUAAAAUACCUAGGAUAGCUCAAAAG
rnacentral:misc_RNA from 1 species